CCUACGGGGGGCAGCAGUGAGGAAUAUUGGUCAAUGGACGAGAGUCUGAACCAGCCAAGUAGCGUGAAGGAUGACUGCCCUAUGGGUUGUAAACUUCUUUUAUAUGGGAAUAAAAUGUUCCACGUGUGGGAUUUUGUAUGUACCAUAUGAAUAAGGAUCGGCUAACUCCGUGCCAGCAGCCGCGGUAAUACGGAGGAUCCGAGCGUUAUCCGGAUUUAUUGGGUUUAAAGGGAGCGUAGGUGGAUUGUUAAGUCAGUUGUGAAAGUUUGCGGCUCAACCGUAAAAUUGCAGUUGAAACUGGCAGUCUUGAGUACAGUAGAGGUGGGCGGAAUUCGUGGUGUAGCGGUGAAAUGCUUAGAUAUCACGAAGAACUCCGAUUGCGAAGGCAGUUCACUGGACUGCAACUGACAUUGAGGCUCGAAAGUGUGGGUAUCAAACAGGAUUAGAUACCCGGGUAGUC
rnacentral:rRNA from 1 species